UGGGGAAUAUUGGACAAUGGGCGAAAGCCUGAUCCAGCAACGCCGCGUGAGGGAUGACGGCCUUCGGGUUGUAAACCUCUUUCAGCUCCGACGAAGCGAAAGUGACGGUAGGAGCAGAAGAAGCACCGGCCAACUACGUGCCAGCAGCCGCGGUAAUACGUAGGGUGCGAGCGUUGUCCGGAAUUAUUGGGCGUAAAGGGCUCGUAGGCGGUCCGUCACGUCGGGAGUGAAAACCUGGGGCUCAACCCCAGGCCUGCUUCCGAUACGGGCGGACUAGAGGUAGGCAGGGGAGAGCGGAAUUCCUGGUGUAGCGGUGAAAUGCGCAGAUAUCAGGAGGAACACCGGUGGCGAAGGCGACUCUCUGGGCCUUACCUGACGCUGAGGAGCGAAAGCGUGGGGAGCAAACAG
rnacentral:rRNA from 1 species